rnacentral:lncRNA from 1 species
GUGAAGAGUUUAUUGGUGGUGGGGAUGAUGAUGGUAAUGGUGGUGGUGGUGGUGAGUAUACAGGAGGCGUAGGAGAUGUUAGAGGCGAUGUAGGUGGUGGUGAGUUAAUUGGAGGAGGCGGAGAGUAGGCUACUGGUGGAGGUGGAGAGUAUAUUGGUUUUGGUGGUGACACUACUGACGGAGGUGGAGGGUGAGCCGUUGGUGGGGGUGGUGAGUUAACUAUAGGUGGAGAUUGGACUGACUGGGGAGGCACGGUCACUAGUUCUGGUGGCGGAGGCGAAUGCACUCGUGUUACCGGUGACUCUGAAUGCGGAGGUGGUGGCGGUGAGUGUGUCCGUGUCACCGGUGAGUCUGAAUACGGAGGUGGUGGUGGUGAGUUUACUGGUGUCCUUGGCGACUCUGAAGGCUGAGGUGGUGGAGUUUUGGGAGCGGGCUCCUGUUGGGCUGGAGGUGGCGGCGAUGGGAAUACAACCUGAUGUGGUGGCGAGGUCACCACUGGUUUCAGAGAUGGUUUCGGUGAUGGUGCUGUCACCGGUUCUGGUUUUGGCGAUGGUUUCGGAGACGUCGGCGUCACCGGCUUUGGCGAUGGUUUCGGAGACGUCGGCGUCACCGGCUUUGGUGAUGGUUUCGGAGACGUCGGCGUCACCGGCUUCGGUGAUGGUUUUGGAGAUGUCGGCGUCACUGGCUUUGGUGAUGGUUUUGGAGACGUCGGCGUCACCGGCUUUGGUGAUGGUUUCGGAGACGUCGGCGUCACUGGCUUUGGUGAUGAUUUCGGAGACGUCGGCGUCACCGGCUUCGGUGAUGGUUUUGGAGAUGUCGGCGUCACCGGCUUCGGUGAUGGUUUUGGAGAUGUCGGCGUCACCGGCUUUGGUGAAGAUUUCGGAGAUGAUGGUGUGGCUGGAGAUGGAGACGAAGAGCUCGGAGAAGACCCACAUUUAUCUUUACUGCAGUCCACAGGGCGAGUCAUCACCGGAAAACAUGUCUUCGUCGACUUCUGGCCGGGCC